ACGCGUGGAACCUUACCAGGUCUUGACAUCCUCUGACACUCCUAGAGAUAGGACGUUCCCCUUCGGGGGACAGAGUGACAGGUGGUGCAUGGUUGUCGUCAGCUCGUGUCGUGAGAUGUUGGGUUAAGUCCCGCAACGAGCGCAACCCUUGAUCUUAGUUGCCAGCAUUUAGUUGGGCACUCUAAGGUGACUGCCGGUGACAAACCGGAGGAAGGUGGGGAUGACGUCAAAUCAUCAUGCCCCUUAUGACCUGGGCUACACACGUGCUACAAUGGAUGGUACAAAGGGCAGCAAAGCGGUGACGCCUAGCAAAUCCCAUAAAACCAUUCUCAGUUCGGAUUGUAGGCUGCAACUCGCCUACAUGAAGCUGGAAUCGCUAGUAAUCGCGGAUCAGCAUGCCGCGGUGAAUACGUUCCCGGGCCUUGCACUCACCGCCCGU
rnacentral:rRNA from 1 species